GCUCAGAAGGGACGAGCGAGGCAUAAAGCUCUGUUGCUGCGCUUCCUCUCUCUUUGUUGCCCUUUUCGGUCUGUGUGAAACUUCAACUUCCAUGGAGUUUGAGACCCAAACUCUCUCAAACUUCGAUCUCCAAUCAAAGCCACCAUUUUCUUACUCGUUGAACAUGGGUGACGACUCCUUGGAGCCUUAUGCUGCUCAUGAAUGCGACACGUUUGAAGUCUCUGAUUCUCCCUCCUCGGACGCUCCCAACACCGCCUAUUCCAAGUCUCUUGAUAUCAAUUCCAAAGAUGACCAGUUGCAUGCAACCGACGAUCAAGACUGCCCUAGCUUCGAACAGGUUCUAGUUUCGAAUCUAGACGCCGAUUUGCCGGCGGCCGAAGAGUCGUCGGGUGUGAAAGCUCCAGGAAGCUUGAUAUCGGUGGAGAAAGCUGCAGUGAUGUUGCAGAAAGUGUAUAGGAGUUACCGCACGCGGCGAAGGUUGGCGGACUCUGCAAUCGUCGCCGAAGAGCUCUGGUGGCAAGCUAUCGAUCAUGCUCGACUGAACCACAGCACGAUUUCUUUCUUCCAUUUCUCAAAAACGGAGACGAUGGAGUCGCGCUGGGGUCGUAUCAGCCUGAAUGCUUCGAAAGUUGGCAAGGGUUUAUGCGAAGAGGCCAAAGCUCAGAAGUUGGCUUUUCAGCACUGGAUCGAAGCUAUCGAUCCACGACACCGAUAUGGGCACAACUUGCAUAUGUAUCAUGAACAAUGGUACAAAGCAGAUGCCGGUCAGCCUUUCUUCUAUUGGUUGGAUAUUGGAGAUGGCAAAGAGGUUGAUCUCAAAGAAUGCCCAAGAUCUAAGCUUCAAAGAGAAUGCAUUAAGUAUCUUGGACCUAAAGGAAGAGAACAUUAUGAAUACAUACUUGAGGAGGGGAAAAUUGUCCACAAACAAACUGGAGAUCUCCUAGAUACAAGCAAUGGAUUGCAAGGGGCCAAGUGGAUAUUUGUGAUGAGCACUUCUAAGAAACUGUAUGCUGGUGAGAAAAAGAAAGGAGCCUUUCAUCAUUCGAGCUUCCUUGCCGGGGGAGCUACUUUAUCUGCUGGAAAGCUUAUGGCAGGGCAUGGUAUACUUAAGUUCAUCUCAGCCUAUAGUGGACAUUACCGCCCAACUGAUGGCUGCCUUGAAAAUUUUUUAUCCUUCCUACGGGAAAAUGGAGUAAAUCUCGAUGAAGUUCAGGUUCGGACUGCAAAUGAAGAUUAUGAGCAUUAUGAUACCAGCAAAUCAAAUGGAAGUAACGGGUCAGAAUCAACUGAAGAGACUAAAACUGAAACCAAAGGAAAUUACCAAAGAACUUUAUCUGGUGGUCUUCGGAAUGGAACUGCUGAGGUUGCUAAGAAAGCUAUACUGCAAAGAAUCGACUCAAAGAAGGCAGUGAGUUCAUACCAGCUAGGGCGUCAACUGUCUCUAAAUUGGACAACAGGGGCUGGGCCGAGAAUUGGGUGUAUCGCAGACUACCCUGUAGAAUUGAGGGAACAGGCUUUGGAGUUUGUGAACUUCCCUCCAAGUGAGCCCCCAACACCAACAGUCUCAUAGUGUAGUCAACUUCUUCCAAGAAAGCCCCCUACGCCAUCACCCUCCAGGUGAAUUGGUAGUACUGCAUCAGCUGCAGCUCACUGCAGGCUUGCAGGCACCUGAGAGGCAAUUGACCAUAUGUAAGGAAAAAAUAGAAGAAAUGAUAAGAAAACGAACUAAUGGCCCAUGGUAAAAAAUAGUGGCUAGUGAUAUCAGCACAGAGAAAAAUUUGGCUCAUAAAAGACUGAUUGGGAACCUGGAAAGCAGCAAAGCAUGUACAAGGAACUCCUCAAGAGACGUUAUUAGCCUCUUUUGCUUCAGGGGUGGGACUUCAGAAGCCUGACGAAGGUCAACACAGGCAAAUUUCAUAUGCUGAGCACCAAUGCUGGAAUAGGAAGCUAAAAAAAAGGGGAAUUAGAUUCGAAGGGCAAUAUCAGAAUGAUGGGAACAUUUUCACAUUAAAGAUUGCUAGAGCAAAGAUCACCGUAGCCAGAUGGUCUUGAUUGUCCAAACGACCCUUUCCUACUGAAAGGCAUAAACUUGACAUCAACCACAAAAGGGAAAAAUGUAAUCAGUAGGGGUGGACCAAACUACUUCAAAAGUUAGCUUAUGAAAACAGAACCCAAAAGGCAGCUCAGAGAUAGAUGCUCUCACUUUCAUAUAAGAGAUCUCCGGUUCGACUCCAAGCUAACUCGAUAAAAUGUUCCUAGAGGAAGGGGUUGUGUAAUGGUGGAUUUCCUCAGGGCCAAACAGGAAAGGAGGUGGUGUGGUUGGGGCCUGGGGGUUGGGGAAUGGGGUGUUUGGUAAUGGACUCUAAAAAUACAUUUCUGAAAGCAGGAAAGGAGAAGAAAGAAUUUCAUUUCUCGUAUAAACCACCAUCAUUCACUGGAAAAAUUCCCUGCUGUAUUACCUUGAGCUACUCCUUUUUAGCUGGUGAACAUAAGCUUCCAACUUGAAGUAAUCCACAUUUGGUUGUUUCCUGCA